rnacentral:rRNA from 1 species
UACGAAGGGGGCUAGCGUUGCUCGGAAUCACUGGGCGUAAAGCGCACGUAGGCGGAUUGCUAAGUCAGGGGUGAAAUCCUGGAGCUCAACUCCAGAACUGCCUUUGAUACUGGCGAUCUUGAGUCCGGGAGAGGUGAGUGGAACUGCGAGUGUAGAGGUGAAAUUCGUAGAUAUUCGCAAGAACACCAGUGGCGAAGGCGGUUGCCUGGAGCUUUGCUGACGCUGAUGCGCGAAAGCGUGGGGAGCGAUCCGG